rnacentral:rRNA from 1 species
CAGCCGCCGCGGUAAUACGGAGGGGGCUAGCGUUGUUCGGAAUUACUGGGCGUAAAGCGCACGUAGGCGGCUUGGUAAGUUAGAGGUGAAAGCCUGGAGCUCAACUCCAGAAUUGCCUUUAAGACUGCCGAGCUAGCAGGUGAGAGAGGUAAGUGGAAUUCCGAGUGUAGAGGUGUAAUUCGUAGAUAUUCGGAAGAACACCAGUGGCGAAGGCGGCUUACUGGCUCAUACUGGACGCUGAGGUGCGAAAGCGUGGGGAGCAAACAGGAUUAGAUACCCCAGUAGUCCCUGUCUCUUAUAC